CAUCGUCUCAUACUUUAUCAAACCCCUCGUCUACGAAGCCUAUAGUUCAGAACUGUCUAAGUCGAUAAAUCGAAGCUACCCAUGGUACGGCGAUGAUCGCCUUUGUGCUCGUCUUCUCUUCCAUAGGCUGCAUCCCACUGAUCGCGUUACUCCGGAAGUUCAAGGUCCUUAACUGGAACUAUGCCAAGCAAAUACAGACGGAGAUGAAGGGUCACACUCAGAGCACGGCAAAGUUCCUUCGUUCCGUCUCCAGUGUGGAGAAUGAAAACAUGGACAGUAUGCCGAACAUCACGACGUACUCGGACGAGCCGGAGAACGGUACUGUCAGUGGGGAAUUGGAUGACGGCGCCGUGAAGUUUACGUUGAUGCAGAAUUGACGUGGUGAACGUGAUUAGUUGACGGAUGUACUCGCGUGCAAUUUUGGUGGGAGGCAGAAAAGACCAUUAUGCAUUAUUGAAAAACAAACAUAAAUGGAAAUACUAGAGAACAUUGUCACUGACCGAACUAAAUAAUGUGUGAGGAAAGGAAGCAGUGAAAACGAAACGCGAACAAUUAUUCUGAUCAUGACAUUAAAGUCAGCAUUAUUUGUACGAAAACAUACCAGCAAAAUACCAUUUGUGUGUGAAAUGGAUAUGUCACAUAUCGGCAUUCAUAACGCGGGUACUGCACGGUCGCCGUUCCACGAAAAGUAAAAUCCUAAAAGGCACAAACCUACAUUCCAGGAUGUAGACCAAGUGGAAAAUGCGGUUGUGCUUGAAGAAGAACCAAUAUCCCAAGGCGUGAUUUCCGAAAUGUUAACAUUGACGAGUACGCGGGGACCAAUGACGGAUGUAGCGUUCAGUCGAAGAGACGGACCCACGAGUCUUCAUCCGGACAAAGACGUGGAACACACUUAAAAACAGAUCUACAAUUCUUUAUUAAUGGGACUUGCCUUAAUGAACACAUCUUAAAGUUAGAUAGUUGUUCGAAAUCAUCUUUUAUACAAUUGGAUGGCAGUAUUUAUUUUUCAAAUCUGCCACUUGUUUGGGGGUAAAUCAGCAGUUAGCCGUUAUAGAUUUUAGUCACGUAAAUAGGUAGAUUUUAACAGAGACUGGUGUAAUAGACGAAAUAUAAUCUCAAUCAAUAAGCUGGUUAAGAAUUUAGGAAAUAAAUUGGUCGUGUGUCUGCGAUGCUCCAUGCCUUUUGCUGGUAAAUGCAGUCUUAUUACCAUUAGCCAUUGCUGAAACAUUGAUACUUGACACAGAGUGAACUUAUGCUUAUUCAUGUGUCUACCUUUAAUUCAUACAAAAAUAACUUUUGAUUAUUUUCAUAUAUUACAAUUAAAAAAUAGGCCUUAUUUAGUAAAAAUAUAUUUAUGAAAAAGUCAAAAACCGCUUCAGUGUUGAAGCCACUGCUCAAUGUACUUUUUGUCUGUUUUGUUUUUUUGUUAUACCAUUCAGCAUUAAAGCGAUUUCAUUGUGUACAUGUACUUCGGGCGUUUUUGUUGACACCAAGCUAGUUUCAGUUUUGGUUUCAAUGGUUUCGGAGGUUUGGAAACCUGUUUCUAAAGUUUAGCUUGAAGUAAACAUUGUUUUGUGUCCAGGUUCAACAAUGUGGUUGAGCUUCUGCAUGCCGUCAUUAUUUCUGAAUUUCAUCAAAAAAUUAUACCGCAAAUGGCCGUUUGCCUGAUUUAGCUAAAUGUUGUUUUGACACAUGUGUUUGAUCACUGUCCGCCAUGUUUGUUUUUUUCAAAAUGAGUUCGGGUGGAACGAACCGACGAAACCGCCUCCGGGGGUUCUGAUAGUUUCAAAAACUAGUUUCAGUUUUCGUGAAACAAACGAUAAAAACUGAUAAUCAUUUAGUUUGAAACUGUCACAAAAUACACAAUUUGUAAAACCAAUAAAAACUCAAAACUAGUUUAUAACCCACAAAAUCGCCCGUAGUUAGAAUUUAAAGCUGUUGAAUGAAAGUAUUAUAAAAGCAAUGGAACCAAAGAUUUUCGAAUGUUAUAUACAUGUAUGUAGUUAAACCAUUAGUUAUAAUAGUAUGCAUGUAGAAAAACAAAAUUCCAUGACAUGAUGAUGCUAAAAGUCUUUAAGGCAUAAAUAACUGUAUGCUACGGAGUUCCGUUAGGGCCAUCGUGUCUUCGACCUUACGCUUAAGAGCGAACACUCGAAGGCCGACGACGAAAACACGAUGGCCCUAACGAAACACCGUAGUUUUGUAUUAAAUUUCUGGUAGCUGUUAUAUUAGGGAAGCAUUAUAAUGCUAGUACCGGUAUUCUUAUUAAUACUAGUUUGUUAAAGUGUUUACUAAAUUACAGCAUUAUGUUCAGUACCCAGUCGUUCAGGAUAGCGGGUUAUUAGAUUGUAGAUGCAUGUACAUGCCAUUAUCUUUACUUUAGUGUUCGAAAUUAUAUGUUGUCUAAUGAAUGGCAGUAUUUUCUGCCUCAUCUGCCUCAUAUUUAUUUUGGUAAAUCAGCAUUCAGCAGUUAUUGAUUUAAUCAGUUGAACCGGCAGAUUUCAACACAGGGUUCAGUAUGUCAGACAAAAUGUAAUCUCGAGCACUAUUGGUAUGCAUUUACCAAAAUGAAAUGGUAAUUAGCGUCUUUUUCGCCUUAAAAGCAUUAAUUUGGUAGAUACAUACGAAUAACCUUUAAUCAUUACAUAAACGCCAGCUUGCAUUUUAUUGGCAGCGCAUUGCCGCCUACAAUCCUGUGAUAUAAUGACAUUUUGUAUCUUUUUUGUCUUUCUUAUCAUUUUUUUGGCCUUUACUUAAAGUAGAACAAAUUGAUUCUUUAUCUGGGGGUUGUUUCGUCCAGGUUUAUAGGAGCGUGUUUGUACCAAAUGGUUUCAGCAGUACAGUGUUAUAUUUCUGAAUUUCUCCUCUGGUUAUACGACAUCACUGAAUUCUAGAUGAAAUAACCGCAGAGCUUUAGGUUAAUGAGACAUUGAAAAUUUGUUAAACAAACUAUAUUCACAUUUCGUCAUUUUAAUAGCGACCAUAUCUGACAUCGUCUUCGUCAUUUAACAAUCUGAUACGAGUUGUUUGCGUGUCCAAUGCCCCGUUGUAAUAAAGGCGUAACCUCGUUAAAAGCUGCACUCUCACAGAUUGAACAUUUGACAACUCUUCUUACUUUAAGUCUUGGAACGAGCCAAUUUUUGCGAAAAUCCAUGGAAACCAGUGAUAUUAGACUGCCGACAAAAAAAGAUCGCAAAUAUUUAUAUUUAAGUUCAAAAAUUCAUGUUUUAUGCAUUUUUCUUAAACCGUUAGUAACGGUUUGAGCCAUAAAACAUUAAUUUUCGAACAGAAAUAUGCAAAUCUGCGCUUUGAUCUUUUGUCAGCAAUCUUUUAUCAUUGGUUUGCAGAUACGCAAAAAUUUGCUGUUUCCAAAAGUUGUAAAAACGGUAAAUCUGUGAGAGUGGAGCUUUAAGGCUAUAACUGCUUUUGGACAUUUAUCGUACGUUUUCCAACCGUAGGUUUGCGUUUGUACCCGAGCUCUCUUAAAUAUGCGCUCUUACUCUCAAAUAAGAUUUAGCACAAUUAAUAUUGUUUUACUAUUUCAAACUGGAUGAAUAAAUGUCGAAAGCAAUGGUUCUUAUGAAGGAUACGGAGUUUAAUUUGAAAGAAAGGUGCAGAAAACAUGUUAUUUCUACCUUAUGAGACAAGAGUAGAUCACAGUAAAUAUUUUAGCACUCACCAAUCAUUUAAUAUUUUUGCGUUUGCAGCUAUUAAAUCCAUGGUUACAAUCUUGUUAUCAGUUAUUAAUAUUUUACACAAAUGCAUUAUUUAGUAAGUAGUUAAAGGUUUAUCACUCAAAAUGUAUGUUUGUUUUACAUGUUUAUGUAUUUUGAAUAAGAGUGUCUUUUUAAGCAGGCUCAAGGCCAAGAUAUCUUAUUGAAACUGGACCUAUUUUUUUUUAAACUUUUAUUGUUUUAAAAUAUAUGCUUCUACUUUAAUUAACAAUUAAACUAAAAUAUAUGAAGUCAUUUUAAUAUUUUCAUUAGAAGUUUUUCAGGUAAUUUAGAUUUUAGUAAUUAUACAGUUUGAUGUUGUUUUUUUAAAUGUAUUGUUUUAUCGUUACCACGGUUUCAGUUUGAGGAUUCAUUUUACACGUGCAUAGCAAUCGAUGACAAACACUUAUUCCAUUAACAAGCAUUAUUUGUAAUUUAAAUUCUAGUUACACAUACAUGAAAAAUAAAUAAGUCGUUUUCUUAUUUUCCUUUCACAUGCACUGGUUCGAUUGUUCAGAACUUUGUUAAAGUUAACAACGUUGUUAACGUCAUCUUUGUUAACUUUCACAUCUUUACAACACGGACACACUUAUGAUCUACUUCUAUUUUCGAACAAUAUUUGAGGCAACUGCUUUAGUUGGACUUGAUUUAAACAAAUUUCUGAGUGGUCAGAGUGGUUCAGUGGUAUAUGUGUGCCCCUCUCAGUGGUUUAGUGGUAAAUGUGUACCCCUCUCAGUGGUUCAGUGGUAUAGGUGUCCCCCUUUCACCCAAGAGGUCGUUGGUUCAAUCCCCACCAGGGGUACUUUUCUAUGGCCUUUCAUAAAGGACACACUUCUGGUUUCUGCCCAGAAAUUGAGAGUGAUCCUAUAAGCUUAGCUUUUGUCACAAUCGAUCUAAAAUAGAUUAGUAUCUACUAAAUAUCGGAGAUAUCAUACACUAGGUAACGUUUUAAAGCUGCACUCUCACAGAUUGAAAGUUUUGACAUUUUUUUUUUUUUUUGUCUUGGAACUUGCCCAUUUUUGCGAAAAUCCAUGUAAACGGAUUUUUAUAUUUUAAUUCCAAAAAUGAUGUUUUAUGCAUUGUUCUUAGUUACUAACGGUUUCAGCCAUAAAUCAUUAUCUUUUAAACGGAAAUAUGAAAAACUACGAUCUGAUUUUUGUCAGCAAUCAUAUAUCAUUGGUUUGAAGGUGUUUACGCAAAAAAAUAUCUUUCCAAGACAAAAGAAAAGUUGUAAAACCGAUAAAUCUGUGAGAGUGCAGCUUUAAAGUAAGCAACGAUGACGGUUACUUUCACAAAGUUCUGAACAAUCUGCCCAAUGGCAUUUGCUGUAAAUAGUGUACAUACCCAUUAUAAUACUGACAUACAUUUUUCUUCUACUUACACGAUGUAUAAUUAUACAUGUACAAGUCCAACUCGAACUGCUUUAGUGUUUUUAGAUGAUGCCAAUAAUGAUAUAAAGCAACGUAUAAAACAAUGAUUUUAACUGUUGUUGCUACCUUUAGUUGCCAAAUCUACAGAGUAUGGUCUCUUUGAAAAUAAACGUUUUUAAUUGGACUAACAGGGUUUUCUGUCUGUUUAGACCUGUGUUGUAAUUAUCAAUUAUACUUCUUAACUGAUAUUUAGUUGAACGCUUUUACAUACUAUCAGAUGACAACAUUUUAUUUUGAUAAGUGAUCUGACAAGUAUUCCGUUUUAGUUAUAUCUAAUCAAUACAAUACAAAGUAUUGCGUCUGUUUUAUAGCGAUCGAUCCAAGAUCAAUACAAUUAAUAUUGACUCAGUAAUAUUGACAAUAUAUAUAUAUAUUUGAGCACCAAAAAUUAAAUAUUUGAUUCAUUUCUACCCCGACAACCAUUCUAUAUUACCAGGAUACUUAUGGUAUUGACAAUUCGUUAGUACAGAUCUGCCCUCUCAAAUAUAUUCCACUCAUGAAAUGGAAUCUCAAAUAUAUUCUACUCAUGAAAUGGAAUCUCAAAUAUAUUCCACUCAUGAAAUGGAAUCUCAAAUAUAUUCCACUCUUGAAAUGGAAUCUCAAAUAUAUUCCACUCUUGAAAUGGAAUCUCAAAUAUAUUGCACUCUUGAAGUGGAAUCUCAAAUAUUUUGCACUCUUGAAAUGGAAUCUCAAAUAUUUUGCACUCUUGAAAUGGAAUCUCUAAUAUUUUGCACUCUUGAAAUGGAAUCUCAAAUAUAUUCCACUCUUGAAAUGGAAUCUCAAAUAUAUUCCACUCAUGAAAUGGAAUCUCAAAUAUAUUCCACUCUUGAAAUGGAAUCUCACUUUUUGGUGUUUCAUGAUCAGUUGUUUAUUGAAGUCAUUUUGACAUAUUUUUAUCGUUUGUUUUCUCUUAAACAGUGCCUAUUGAGACCCUUGUCUUAACUUAUGCUAUGAAGUGUUUCAGUAAUCUUUCAUCAGGACAUUUUUAAUUAUGUUUACUCUUUACCUUGUUGUUAUUAAUAUUGAAUGUAUUCGUGCUAUCUUAUAUCUACCUUUUGAGCUUCGUAAUCAAGUGCUAUCUUCAUGACUUUCAUGCUGUCAAUGAGUCUUUGGUUUUAAAUACUUUGUAUAUAUGAUCAAAUUUUUAUGAAUUGUAUAUAAUUUGUUUUCCUUGGAAUUUUAAAUUGGUUGUUUGUUUGAUUAUAAUAAAUUGAAAUGAUGUCCUG